AACAGUUUAACCAUAAUAAUCUUUUGCACUUUUAUUGUAUUUUAGAAAUAUCCAAGGACUCUCAUAUUAAUUAAUUCCUUGUAGCCCCAAACAGUUUUUGGCUAUAGAGGCUAAGCCCCAUAUUACAGUUGAGGAUAUGGAAGUUGAAAGAAAUAAAAAGAUGGCUCAAGUUUAUAUAAGUAGUAUAUAUCAAAAACCUUCAUGUUUUUUUCCAGUCUCCUAGUGCAAUGUUGAUUCUGCUUUACCACAUAUGUAUUUUAGAAAGAUGUCAGCUUUGUUGCUUAAUUACAAUAUAUAAAAGGUAGGGGUCCUCUUUUAUUUAAGCAUUCCAGUGAACUUUAAUAACAGAAAUGCUGAGAGAAGGGUUUGUUCUAGCGAACUGAGAAUUAAGAAGAAAAGUCCUGCAUUGUUAGAUCUUAAUGAAGUAAAGUUUAAAUGAGAUAGGUCCAUUUCCUGUGGUAGGGAGUAGAGGAUAACUCAUCAUAACUCGCUCUCUUUGAUACCCCAUGAUCAUCAUUUUGAAGACUGCAGUUCUCAUCUCAUAGGCCUGCAGAUAGUAAUGUACAAAGAAACAAGAGAUGAAAUAAUUGUUCCCUGAACCACUUGUUCCCCAAAUUCUCUUAUAAACAAGUCACCUUAUGUCACCCUAUAUACUUUACAAAUGUCUCCUCUUCUAAAAAUGGAAUUAAUGGCCUUGGCUAGUCAUGACUUCACUCUGCUGUCCUGUGAGGCCCAGAUCUGUAUAACACUAGGCUUGUCCACACCCAGCACGAAGUGAGUUAUAUGUGUAGAUAUCUGCCCCUCACUCACAGCUAUAGGAGGAGUUCCUGUUUAUAGAGUAGGAAGUGGUUUGGAAGAAGCAGAGCACAGACUUAUUAAUUUCAAUAAAUAUUGAAUCAUCCCAUCUAUCCAUCAUCCCAUAUAGCCCAGCACAUGGUAAUGAUAAUUCUUUCAACAAAUACUUACCAAGAAUGUGCUCUAUUUUAAGAGUUGUGCUAGCAAUGGAUGCUGGGAAUAGAGCAAGUAACUUGUUUGAAAUGUGAAGGAUGUACAGGAGUCAGCUAUACACAAGAGAAAAGAGGUAGAGCUUAUAAUUCAAGUGAUAUUUAAACUGAAACUAGUUGACUGAUAUGAUCCCAUAGUUAAGUGUGCUUUAUGGUUUGAGUCCUAGUUGAGUUUAAUGAUUUUGGUUUGAAUCCUAGUUGAGUUUAAUGAUUUUGCCCUUUUUUCCAGAGCUGGAUAAAAAGAGGAGAGCUAGAAAUAUCUUGACAUUGGGAGAGAUUCAUAAAUUCUGUGAAUGUAGAAUAAUAAAUUCUCUUUUAUCCACAACCCUAUUUUAAGCAUCACAACUCUAUUUCUUUCAUUGCUGGAUAAUUAUGGCACAGGCUAAUACAGCAAAGGCAAUACAUGGGCACUUCCUUUCUGUCCAUUGCAAGUCUGAGUGUUCCCCAUUCUUUAGAGCAGGCCAGUGACUGCAAAAUUAUGCAUAAGUAAACCCCUUUGAAAGUUCCUGAAGGACUUCAUUGUUUUAUUGAGAAAACAAAAGCAUUGGCUAUUUCUGGUAUUUUUGCUCAAUAAUGUCUAUACAUGCAAAUGUGAGAUAUUUCAUAUAAACAUGUACGUAUGUUAAGUAUGUAUAUGUUUAUGGGCAUGUGUGUAUAUAAUUUAAAACGUUAGUUUUGUUUUCAAUGUAUCAAUGAAACUUUAAGAUCUCUAAGUACAGGAAAGAGUUCAUUUUUGCAAGUCAUAUGAAGAGAAAUACUGAAAAUUUUCAUGUUUCAGAUUUCCCAUCUUCUAGGAGUACUACACGCAGUUAUUUCUAUAAAGUAAAUUAAAAGCUCCGCUUCCCUAAGAAAGCUCAGUUCAAACAGGCGACCAGGUCCUCUUCCGUAAGGGUUCUUGGAUGACGUCAAUCGUCAAAUACUGGGGAGAAACAUCAGGAACAAACGGGUAACAGAAAUGUGGCAGAAGCAAUUUUCUCCCUAUCAUUAGAUCCUGCCAUUGUUAUCACAGCAGGAGUAUUUUCAGAAGAUGAAUCUCGUUUGGGGUUUUCUAAGUGUCUGAGCUUGAGGAGUUUUUCCAUACAUCUAUGGAUGUGUUUCCCAGCAGUGGUGUCAGGUAUGCUUGUGCUUAAAUAUGCUAAUGGGAGCACCCCAGCUGGGAGGGGAUGCUGCAGGUGCAGAGGAGCGGAGGGGGACCCGCUGGAGCUGCUCCUGGAGCAAACGGAGGUGUGAGGUCGCAUCUCAGGUAGAGAGGAG
rnacentral:lncRNA from 1 species